GGAACUGACAAAAUAGAAGCUCCUUGUUCCUUCCUGCAGCAGAGCACACCAAGAACCACUUUAGAAGCAUCCAAUCCUUGAUGGUGAAGGACCAUCAUGCCAUUCCAACCCCUCUGUAACAACCUGGUGACAACCACCCAUAGAGAGAGACACGGUGGAGGAGAAGGGGAGCUCACCAGAUGAGGAAGUCAAGAAGAGAGCGAGCUGAUCAAGAAGAAAGACCAUCCAAGGAGUGAAGAUCUUGUAGGAGAAUCAGAAGCUAAGGUCUGCAGUUAGACACCAUCAAGCUUAAGAAACAUGGAAAGCAUGGAGACAAGCAUUUAAGAGAUGAACUUUUCUUGGGAGCUCGGGCAAGUCAGGAGACGACAGACGAUGGUCUUAUUGCAGAACAAACGAUGUACAUAAAAAGGUGCCAAGUCAAGAAUGCAUGACAAAUACUACAUAUGUAAAUUUGAUAUAAAGUUGUUAUUUUAUUUCUUUUAAGUAAUAUUAGUUAGCUCUUUUAUGUUGAAAUGUAAUGAAUAAUGUAAAGUCCUAACUAUUGUUCUGCUGCAUCACUCUGAUUAGGGUCAUUAUUCGAGAAAGCGUUGCUUUGGUAGUGAAAAUGCGGGGAGUUAUAUUUCCCUGCAAAGGAGCUCCUCAUUGAGUCCUCUACUAUUAGCCUAUUAGCCGCUUCUACAUCAAGCCUUGGAUUCGCUUCAAAUCAGAUUCUAGAAAGACGGAAACUAAGAAAUUUGUAAUAGACCCAAGGCCUUCAAAAAC